rnacentral:rRNA from 1 species
GACGAACGCUGGCGGCGUGCUUAACACAUGCAAGUCGAGCGGUAAGGCCCUUUCGGGGGUACGACGAGCGGCGAACGGGUGAGUAACACGUGGGUGACCUGCCCUCAGCUCUGGGAUAAGCCUGGGAAACUGGGUCUAAUACCGGAUAUGACUCCACGACGCAUGUUGUGGGGUGGAAAGCCUUGUGCGGCUGAGGAUGGGCCCGCGGCCUAUCAGCUUGUUGGUGGGGUGAUGGCCUACCAAGGCGACGACGGGUAGCCGGCCUGAGAGGGCGACCGGCCACACUGGGACUGAGACACGGCCCAGACUCCUACGGGAGGCAGCAGUGGGGAAUCUUGCGCAAUGGGCGAAAGCCUGACGCAGCGACGCCGCGUGAGGGAUGACGGCCU